rnacentral:rRNA from 1 species
UACGGAGGGGGCUAGCGUUAUUCGGAAUUAUUGGGCGUAAAGGGCGCGUAGGCGGCCCGGUAAGUCAAAGGUGAAAUCCCUCGGCUCAACUGAGGAACUGCCUUUGAAACUGUCGGGCUUGAGGCCGGGAGGGGGUAGCGGAAUUCCCAGUGUAGCGGUGAAAUGCGUAGAUAUCAGGAGGAACACCUGCGGUGUAGACGGCUUACUGGACCAUAACUGACGCUGAGGCACGAAAGCGUGGGUAGCAAACAGG